rfam:Monosiga brevicollis MX1 MONBRscaffold_25 genomic scaffold, whole genome shotgun sequence.
GCGCGCGUGGUGUAGUGGUUAUCACGUCGCUUUAACACAGCGAAGGUCAUCAGUUCAAUUCUGGUCGUGCGUA